AAGUGAAUGCUUUUCUUGGCUGAUUUUAUGCUCCGUGUGUCAAUACAACUUAUGAUUCAUCAACUGGGACUUCCAUUCCCAACAGUUGGUAGCAGAGGAUGGUUUUGUGUUGACACAUGAGCGGAGAUUGGACUGGCCGUUCAGGCGCACUUUCCGAAGCAGUACCCUGGUGUAGGGCCCACACGAAAGUAGUCCCGUGGUCUGACGGGGACCGUGGGGGCUCAGGGCCGUGCGAGGAGGUGAGGAGAAAGGCCUCUGUCUUCAGCUUCAGGCCUCCGCUGUUCUUAGCCGUGCUGACAUGGACAUUUGCACUUUCUACACAUAUGAAUUGUACCAUCUUCUGCUGGACUGCUGUUUGAGGGCAAAGACCUAUUGGACGAUUCUGACAGCUUCCACAGAGGUCAGUGAGGUUGGAUUGAUUUUUCCUGUAGUCACAUGAGGACGGAUUGCAGCUUACGGGAUCUACCAUUGGAUCUCUGAGGAAACACCUGGCUAAAGGACGAGACCCAGCCGUGAUUUCUGAGGGUCUCCUAUGGCAGAAAAGACCAACGGCUUCGGCCCAACGUGAGAUGGAGGUUUGAAAGCCAGUGGUGGGAAGUAACGAAGUACAAAAUGAAGUCCAAUCCUUUCUGGGUGUGCCAGGAUGUGAGACUGUGGGCGCCUUCCAUAAUUGGUGGACCAAUUUACAGCUGAAACGCCACUGAAGCCUCGCGGGCCUGUCGGGGUUUCCCAUCAAGCUGCGCCGGCCCCAUAUCUGGACACACGCAGAAACUGAUUUGAUGUUGAUAGGUCUCGCUAUAGAGAGACUAAUAUGAUUAGAUUUUAUUACUAUUAUUACAUUUUACUUAGAAAGCAGUUUUACUUGUUUCCUCAUCAUAGUUCAUUCAUACCGGUAUAUUUUGACUGUCCUGCCUUGAUCCUGAUUUAUUGGUUUGCUGUUUAAUGCAAGUGUUCGUUGUAUGUUCUGUGUCUUUCCAUAUUCAUUACUUCUAAGCUUUUCUUGCCAUUUCAUUUCAUUUAACAUUGCAUCCUUUCUGUGGUUCAUUAACUUUUAAAUAUUACCUUAAAAUUUCAAAUAAGUUUGGUUUAUUAACGUACUAAUAGAUCGUUUUACGUAUUAUUCAUUAUUGCUUUGUUCACAUUAAAGGAUAGUAUCUUGACAUUUGUAAUUUUACAUUUUAUUAACGUUUCAGUAAUAUCUACUUUUUAUUCAUUUUACCUUUUAUUAAAUUUGGUUCCUGUUUUAGUUCUUAACUUAAAACAUAUAUUCUUCUAACAUUUUGUUGACUUUUUGCAUAUUACCUAACACUUUGUUGAUUUUGCAUUUUAGUAACUCUUACUCAUUUACAUUUUAUUCAUUUGAAAAUAUUAACCCAACACUAUUUCUUUUGGCAUUUUAUUAAGUUUUGAAAUAACAUCCUGAUCCUUCAUUCAAUUUGCAUUUCACUACAUUCUAACAAUUCCCUCAAUAUAACUUUUAACCAUUUCAUGUGUCAUUAAAUAUUACAUGUAUCUCUUUUAACUUUUAUUACUAAAGAAAAAACUGAAAACAUUUUCAGAUUUUGCUUUUUUACAGUUCUUUAACCUUCUAUGGCAUAGCGUUGCUCUGCACGACUGCAGGACGACGUUUUUUUCCCACCACAAAAAAGAAACAGUAAAUGCCAUGGAGGGUUGAAUUUCCUUUUUCCAAUCUUAACCCUAACAUUCCUUAAAAUUUUAGAUCUUUACAUAUUCUUUAUUAGAUUGUAAGGGGGACAUUGUGAUUUCGAUCCACCGCCUAAGAGGCAUAGGGGUGCCCUGGCCGUUUUUACCCCCAAAAUGAAAUGAAAUGAAAUGAAAUGAAUGAAAGACUACAUCAAUACUUGAAAUGAUGCUAUGUAUGCCAACAUUUGUAAAAGCCUCGGGGGAUGUUUUCCGGAAGGGACAGUGUCUACUCCAGGGUUUGUCUUCUCCUUUUUGGGCUCUUUUGGAGCCCAACAGGGGGAAUGUUGAGACGCUUUACCAAGGUCGAGAAAGAGUCACAUGCUGUUAGACAAAGGGCCCAUAGUAAAGAGUUACAUGUUAGAUUCUGUUAGACACUAAGGCUCAUUCCUCAGAGAACAAAAACUUAUCAGGCCACAGAGACAUGGUGUGAUUUCAGGGAGUGUCUUCAGUCCAUAUAAUCAGCUAACCUCCUUCUCCUCAGAGGCUCCACAGACUUUUUUAGAAACUCUUCUCGAAUGUAAUGGUAAAAGUGUCUCCUUUCAGCGCUGAAAGUGAAUAAAAUAA